GUCCGAUCAGACGACAAUGGCGACAGUACGAGGCCGUCUUACUGAUUGUUUUAUCAGAUAAGUAUGGCUUUGUUGUGUUAACUUUGUAGAGGAAGGGACAUUAAGUACCAGAGAAGAUGUAUGGAGAGGCGGUUGACAUGUGGUAGAAUUGGGAGUGUUGGCAGAUGCAAUGUCAGCAUGCAGUAAUUGUGGCCUGCCUCCUCAACUGCACCAUGCUACAGCCAUGAUAAAUUAUGGAUGGAUUAUCAGCUAUAAUUAAGCUAUGAUACAUGCUGGCAUUGGUGAGAGGCAAGUCAAUAGUCUUUUUUCGGAGCUGAAUAUCCCUCAUGUCAGUAAAUGGACACUGCUAGCAAGGCAAAUGAAGCAGACUUCUCACAUCACACAGAUGGCAGCAGUAUAUGGUGACAAGAAAUGGAGCAUCUAUGUCUUUCCGAAACAACCUAUUUCCAAAGGUGCAUCAGAUAUCACAGGCAUAUCCAUUUCAGGGAGCAGAAUGUAUCACCAUGGCAAAGUGGUAACCCCAUCCAGUAUAUCAUGUGCUAUUGAGGGAUUCCUGUCAUUUAUACAGCAAGUUCCCGAACCAGUUUUCCUUGCUGGACAUAACAUUUAAGUUUUUGAUUGUCCUUUGUUAUUCAAUGCAUUGGAAAAAAAUGUUAAAAUUUCAGCAUUUGUAAAUAAAUUUGUCUUCAUAUGCACAAGAAAAUGUAUGUCAAGUUGUAAGGGGUAAUGAUUACAAUACACAUGAUGCCUUAGAGGAUGUCACAUCUCUACAGCUGUUAGUUGAUGAAAGCAAUUGUUUGUGUUCACUCAUGUUCUGAAGCUGCUUUUGAUUGUAAUCAUGUUUUAUCCUCUCUUGCUUACUCUAUGUGUAUAAAGAAAAAUAUUUCAUCUUACAAUGAUCUUGUAGAAAAGAAAAUUUUGAGCAAAGGUAUGGCUAGGAAAGCUGCUGGUAGGAAUUUGUCUUUCCAUAACUUGAAACUUGCCUACAAUAGAAAUGGUGAAGAUGGACUCAAAGGUGUAUUAUCCGAGACAUGUGUAAGUGUAAGAGUAACAAAGUCUGCUAAGAUCAUUCAAGCUGUGUCAAACUACUUUUGUGAGUCCUAAAGUUAAGCAAUUUAAUAACAAGUAAACAUACUGUGAGCAUGGCUUGCACAUAUCUAAAAUUUUACACAGUGAUUUACCCUUGUCCGUCUGUAGGUAUGUAAGAAUGUCCAUACGUCCAUCCCGAUUUAGUUCAAUUUUAAGUGUAGGUUCAUUUCUCAGAUAGUAGACAUUGUAUAGCAAUGAUACUUGGGUCAUUUUGUAGAUCUUUGGUAGUACAACGUGGUUCACUGUUAGCUAGGUCACUUUGAUCUCUUGUAUACUCCAAUU